GACGAACGCUGGCGGCGUGCCUAAUACAUGCAAGUCGAACGCAGUGGGGACGGGUGAGUAACACGUGGGUAACCUCCCAUCAGAGGGGAUAAACCUUGGAAACAGGUGCUAAAACAAUACUGCUGGAUGGACCCGCGUUGCAUUAGCUAGUUGGUGAGGUAACGGCUCGACAAGGCCACGAUGGAUAGCGGACCUGUGAGGUGGAGCGGCCACACUGGGACUGAGACACGGCCCAGACGCCUACGGGAGGCAGCAGUGGGGAAGCUUCGGCAAUGGACGAAAGUCUGACCGAGCAACGCCGCGGGAGUGAAGAAGGUUUUCGGAUCGUAAAACUCUGUUGUUAGAGAAGCGGUAUCUAACCAAAAAGCCACGGCUAACUACGUGCCAGCAGCCGCGGUAAUAC
rnacentral:rRNA from 1 species